rnacentral:rRNA from 1 species
GGAUAACCUGCCCUAUUGUCUGGAAUAACCUCGGGAAACUGAGAACAAGGCUGGAUAGCCCACAAUGCCUGGAACGGUUUGUGGGUGAAGAUAGGAUGGGUCUGCGGCGUAUCAGGUUGUAGGGGGUGUAAUGGACCUCCUAGCCAUCGACGCGUACGGGUGUUGGGAGACAUAGCCCGGAGAUGGAUUCUGAGACACGAAUCCAGACCCUACGGGGUGCAGCAGGCGCGAAAACUUCACAGUGCAGGAAACUGUGAUGAGGGAACUCCAAGUGCUAUCACUAUGUGGUAGCUUUUCUUGACUAUUAAUCGGUCAUGGAAUAAGGGCUGGGAAAGACCGGUGCCAGCCGCCGCGGUAAUACCGGCAGCUCAAGUGGUCGUCGCUUUUAUUGGGCCUAAAACGUCCGUAGCCUGUUUGGUAAAUCUGUGGGUAAAUCAACCAGCUUAACUGGUUGAAUUCUGCAGAGACUGCCAGACUAGGGACCGGGAGAGGUGUGGGGUACUCUAGGGGUAGGGGUAAAAUCCUGUCAUCCUUAGAGGACCACCAGUUGCGAAGGCGCCACACUGGAACGGAUCUGACGGUCAGGGACGAAGCCUAGGGGCACGAACCGGAUUAGAUACCCGGGUAGUCCUAGGUGUAAACGCUGUGAAUCUUGGUGUCGGGGAUCCGUAAUGGUCCCUCGGUGCCGGAUGUGAAGACGUUAAUGUUCAGCUUCCUGGGGAGUAUCGGUCGCAAGUAUGACACUU